UGCCCACUGAUAUAUAAUUAAAGGGCUGCAGUAUUUUGACUGUACAAAGGUAGCAUAAUCAUUAGUCAUUUAAUUGGUGACUUGUAUGAAAGAUUGGAUGAAAUAUAAGCUGUCUUUAAAAUAAAUUAUAGAAUUUAAUUUUUUAUUUAAAAAGUUAAAAUGAAUUAAAAAGACGAGAAGACCCUAUAGAGUUUUAUUUUAACUAAAAUUAAGAUUUUUUAUAAAAAUAAUAAUUUAAAUUUGAUUUAAAAUUUUAUUGGGGUGAUAAAAAAAUUAAAUAAACUUUUUUUUUUGUUUUUAACAUGAAUAAGUGGUUAAUUGAUCCAGUUUUAUUGAUUAUAAGAAAAAAUUACCUUAGGGAUAACAGCGUAAUUUUUUUUUUUAGUUCAAAUAAGAAAAAAAGUUUGCGACCUCGAUGUUGGAUUAAGAUAAAAUUUAAAUGUAGAAGUUAAAGGUUUUUGA
rnacentral:rRNA from 1 species